GAUGAACGCUGGCGGCGUGCCUAAUACAUGCAAGUCGAGCGAACAGACGAGGAGCUUGCUCCUCUGACGUUAGCGGCGGACGGGUGAGUAACACGUGGAUAACCUACCUAUAAGACUGGGAUAACUUCGGGAAACCGGAGCUAAUACCGGAUAAUAUAUUGAACCGCAUGGUUCAAUAGUGAAAGACGGUUUUGCUGUCACUUAUAGAUGGAUCCGCGCCGCAUUCGCUAGUUGGUAAGGUAACGGCUUACCAAGGCGACGAUGCGUAGCCGACCUGAGAGGGUGAUCGGCCACACUGGAACUGAGACACGGUCCAGACUCCUACGGGAGGCAGCAGUAGGGAAUCUUCCGCAAUGGGCGAAAGCCUGACGGAGCAACGCCGCGUGAGUGAUGAAGGUCUUCGGAUCGUAAAACUCUGUUAUUAGGGAAGAACAAAUGUGUAAGUAACUAUGCACGUCUUGACGGUACCUAAUCAGAAAGCCACGGCUAACUACGUG
rnacentral:rRNA from 1 species